rnacentral:rRNA from 1 species
AGAGACAGCAGCAGCCGCGGGAAUACGGAGGGCGCGAGCGUUACCCGGAUUUACUGGGCGUAAAGCGUGCGCAGGCGGUUUUGUAAGACAGGCGUGAAAUCCCCGGGCUCAACCUGGGAAUGGCGCUUGUGACUGCAAAGCUAGAGUGCGGCAGAGGGGGAUGGAAUUCCGCGUGUAGCAGUGAAAUGCGUAGAUAUGCGGAGGAACACCGAUGGCGAAGGCAAUCCCCUGGGCCUGCACUGACGCUCAUGCACGAAAGCGUGGGGAGCAAACAGGAUUAGAUACCCGCGUAGUCCCUGUCUCUUAUAC